UACGGAGGGUGCGAGCGUUGUCCGGAAUUACUGGGCGUAAAGAGCGUGUAGGCGGCCAAACAGGUCCGUUGUGAAAACUGGAGGCUCAACCUCCAGACGUCGACGGAAACCGUGUGGCUAGAGUCCGGAAGAGGAGAGUGGAAUUCCUGGUGUAGCGGUGAAAUGCGCAGAUAUCAGGAGGAACACCGAUAGCGAAGGCAGCUCGCUGGGACGUUACUGACACUGAGGCGCGAAAGCGUGGGGAGCGAACAGG
rnacentral:rRNA from 1 species